rnacentral:rRNA from 1 species
GCUAACUACGUGCCAGCAGCCGCGGUAAUACGUAGGGCGCGAGCGUUGUCCGGAAUUAUUGGGCGUAAAGAGCUCGUAGGCGGCUUGUCGCGUCUGCUGUGAAAACGCGGGGCUUAACUCCGCGCUUGCAGUGGGUACGGGCAGGCUUGAGUGUAGUAGGGGAGACUGGAAUUCCUGGUGUAGCGGUGGAAUGCGCAGAUAUCAGGAGGAACACCGAUGGCGAAGGCAGGUCUCUGGGCUAUUACUGACGCUGAGGAGCGAAAGCAUGGGGAGCGAACAGGAUUAGAUACCCGGGUAGUC